rnacentral:rRNA from 1 species
ACGAUGCGUAGCCGACCUGAGAGGGUGAUCGGCCACACUGGGACUGAGACACGGCCCAGACUCCUACGGGAGGCAGCAGUAGGGAAUCUUCCGCAAUGGACGAAAGUCUGACGGAGCAACGCCGCGUGAGUGAUGAAGGUUUUCGGAUCGUAAAGCUCUGUUGUUAGGGAAGAACAAGUACCGUUCGAAUAGGGCGGUACCUUGACGGUACCUAACCAGAAAGCCACGGCUAACUACGUGCCAGCAGCCGCGGUAAUACGUAGGUGGCAAGCGUUGUCCGGAAUUAUUGGGCGUAAAGGGCUCGCAGGCGGUUUCUUAAGUCUGAUGUGAAAGCCCCCGGCUCAACCGGGGAGGGUCAUUGGAAACUGGGGAACUUGAGUGCAGAAGAGGAGAGUGGAAUUCCACGUGUAGCGGUGAAAUGCGUAGAGAUGUGGAGGAACACCAGUGGCGAAGGCGACUCUCUGGUCUGUAACUGACGCUGAGGAGCGAAAGCGUGGGGAGCGAACAGGAUUAGAUACCCUGGUAGUCCACGCCGUAAACGAUGAGUGCUAAGUGUUAGGGGGUUUCCGCCCCUUAGUGCUGCAGCUAACGCAUUAAGCACUCCGCCUGGGGAGUACGGUCGCAAGACUGAAACUCAAAGGAAUUGACGGGGGCCCG